CACGUAGGAGGCAAGCGUUAUCCGGAAUUAUUGGGCGUAAAGAGGGCGCGGGCGGUUCUUUAAGUCAGGUGUGAAAUCUCCCGGCUUAACUGGGAGGGGUCAUCUGAUACUGGAGGACUUGAGGGCAGCAGAGGGAGACGGAACUCCCGGUGUAGUGGUGAAAUGCGUAGAUAUCGGGAAGAACACCAGUGGCGAAAGCGGUCUCCUGGGCUGUUCCUGACGCUGAGGCCCGAAAGCGUGGGGAG
rnacentral:rRNA from 2 species